UACGUAGGGCGCAAGCGUUGUCCGGAAUUAUUGGGCGUAAAGAGCUCGUAGGCGGCUUGUCACGUCGGGUGUGAAAGCCCGGGGCUUAACCCCGGGUCUGCAUUCGAUACGGGCUAGCUAGAGUGUGGUAGGGGAGAUCGGAAUUCCUGGUGUAGCGGUGAAAUGCGCAGAUAUCAGGAGGAACACCGGUGGCGAAGGCGGAUCUCUGGGCCAUUACUGACGCUGAGGAGCGAAAGCGUGGGGAGAGAACAGG
rnacentral:rRNA from 1 species